CGCGAAGCCAUGGCCUCCGGCGCCGCAGCUAAGCGGGCGCAGGGCGAGCGGGCGGCGGGACGGCAGCCCCGGCCCCGUCCCAGCGCUGGGCUGACCGUGUGCCCCCUCGUCUCGUCCCACAGAGGCGGACACUCCACAGAGGUUGCUGCGCACCGUCAAGAAGGAGGAGCAGAUAAGAAUGCUGAGGAAGAUUCUAUAGCCAGGCUUUCCGACACACCUGGUCCUGAUGAUUCAUGGUCUACAUCAGCUAGCCAAGACUUAGAUUUUGGUACCAAGAAUGUCCCGAAACCACGCGUAGCAAAGCUACUGCAUUCUUCUUGGCAAUUCAUUAAAAACGUGAGAGCAAAACGUGGCAAUAUGAAACCAGAAGGUGGAACCUUAUCUGAGGACAACAAUCCUGAUUCUGAAAAUUAAGAUAUGGCUGAAACUCUUUCCAAACCACCAGUCAGAGUUUAUGGUGAUCGUCUUCCUAUUUUACCAUCAUCUAAAUCUCUUCUGAAACCUUCUCUCAAGACAUUAGCUGUCCUUGGUCUUGCAAAGUGCUUUCUUCAUUUUCACAGCAGAAAACAGGGGUCUACAAAGGCUUAUACAAGUUGAGUGGAGCCAUGCUCUGCUUCAACUGGACUGUCUUGUGAUAUUCUCAUAACCCUGUUUCUGGUGAGUCUACCUGGAGCAGCCCUGCACCUGUGCCUGGAUCAGCCCCUCCAUCCCUCCACCCUGCAGUACAGACUUCCCACUGCUGCUACACUCAGGAGUACAGCAUGAACAAGCUGAAGCACUCUUCAGUUUUCCCGUGUGGAAUUGAAGUGUCUGGCUUUGAAAAGUGGUUAAGGACCUCACUUCAACAUUGGCACCAGGCAAUGAUAUCACCUCAUCUCUUAGAGAUUCCAAAAGCAACCCAUUAAGAAGGCAAAGUUAUGUCUUCUGGUCACAAAUGGGUAAACUGAGGCUAAUAGCACAGCCUGGGGUCACUAGUAAGACAAGCUAGGUGAGGCUCCCCACUCACCUUUGGAGUGUCCUAACUCCACUUUGGAUUUGUCCUAACAUCAGGCCUGCACCUCAUCAUUCUGGAACUCAGGUCCCUCCUCCUUGGGCACCCCAUCCUCCUGCCAUAAGGCCCCUCUGAACACAGGGGAGCAGAGCCAACCCAUCUGCCUGGGACCUGACAUGGUGGCUGGGGAAGGGAGGACCCUGGGCUCUGUAGGCUAUCCAUGUACUGGACCACCUGGGCUCUGUGGUCUCUCCCAGCAACAGACCGGCUGGGUUCCAUGGACUCUCCUGGUACUGGACAGCUGCUCCCCUCAGGUCAGGACAUCUCACUGUGGAUCUCCUGGGGCUUGGUUUCCUUAUUUUGUCACCUUGGCUGCUGUCCCCAGACCAUAAACCUGACCAUCUGAGGGUGACCAGCACUGCCCCCUUAGGGUUUCAUUUUCCUCAAAUCCUGCCAGGAACAUCCCACAUCUCUGACAACUGCUCCCCAUGGAGUUUGCCUCUCCUUGGACUUGCAUGUAUUUGUUCUUCAUCCCAGGAACACCAUGACUUUGGAGUAUUUUGGGAACAGAGGCCUGCAAAACCUGUCUCUGGACUUGGGCUGUGAGGAAUGCUUUUCCCCUCUGUGGUGUCACUGCCCAGUUUUCUGCAUUCCUCUCUUUCUGUUUUUGCCACAGGAGGAACAGCCAUGUUCUGUCUGGCAUCAGGCUGUGGUGUCACAGAAGGAACAUGGGUCUCUACCCCAAGGUUAUGACCAUUUAUACCAAAGGAAUCUCAUUUUUGCACAUCCAAUUUUUAAUCCAAUGUGGAUUUCAAUAUCAAAUGAGAAAAAAUCUAUUUCAAAUAUACACAAAAUACAAAAAUUAA